rnacentral:rRNA from 1 species
AGAGUUGAUCAUGGCUCAGGAUGAACGCUAGCGACAGGCUAACACAUGCAAGUCGAGGGCAGCAUAGAAGUAGCAAUACUUGGUGGCGACCGGCGCACGGGUGAGUAACGCGUAUGCAACCUACCUAUCAGAGGGGAAUAACCCGGCGAAAGUCGGACUAAUACCGCAUAAAACAGGGGCACCGCAUGGUGAUAUUUGUUAAAGAAAUUCGCUGAUAGAUGGGCAUGCGUUCCAUUAGGUAGUUGGUGAGGUAACGGCUCACCAAGCCGACGAUGGAUAGGGGAACUGAGAGGUUGGUCCCCCACACUGGUACUGAGACACGGACCAGACUCCUACGGGAGGCAGCAGUGAGGAAUAUUGGUCAAUGGGCGGGAGCCUGAACCAGCCAAGUCGCGUGAAGGAAGAAGGAUCUAUGGUUCGUAAACUUCUUUUGCAGGGGAAUAAAGUGCAGGACGUGUCCUGUUUUGUAUGUACCCUGAGAAUAAGGAUCGGCUAACUCCGUGCCAGCCGCCGC